GACGAACGCUGGAGGCGUGCUUAACACAUGCAAGUCGAACGAUGAAAUGGAGCUUGCUCCAUGGAUUAGUGGCGAACGGGUGAGUAACACGUGAAUAACCUGCCCUUAAUUUUGGAAUAACCCAGGGAAACCUGGGCUAAUACCGGAUAAGUAAACCUGUGGCAUCACAUUGUUUUGGAAAGUUUUUCGCUUAAGGAUGGAUUCGCGGCCUAUCAGCUUGUUGGUGAGGUAAUGGCUCACCAAGGCGACGACGGGUAGCCGGCCUGAGAGGGUGAACGGCCACACUGGGACUGAGACACGGCCCAGACUCCUACGGGAGGCAGCAGUGGGGAAUAUUGCGCAAUGGACGAAAGUCUGACGCAGCGACGCCUCGUGAGGGACGAAGGUCUUCGGAUUGUAAACCUCUUUCAGCGGGGACGAAGCGAAAGUGACGGUACCUGCAGAAGAAGCACCGGCUAACUAUGUGCCAGCCGCCGCGGUAAAAC
rnacentral:rRNA from 1 species